rnacentral:lncRNA from 1 species
CUCCUAAAUGUUUUAGCUGCUACCUGUUGACAUUCUAUUAUUCUUUCAUCGUAAAGUUCUUUCAUCAUAAAAUCCGCUACUACACAUGGAAAUUGACCUCGAAUAUCUUCCGUGAAACAAUUACUGAGAUUUGGAGAAUUUACUUGGUGAUGCCAUUAAUUAGAAAUGACUUGAGCUGAAUCAAAUUUGUUGUCAACUCGUGC